GUAGGUGGCAAGCGUUGUCCGGAAUUAUUGGGCGUAAAGCGCGCGCAGGCGGUUCUUUAAGUCUGAUGUGAAAGCCCACGGCUCAACCGUGGAGGGUCAUUGGAAACUGGAGAACUUGAGUACAGAAGAGGAAAGCGGAAUUCCACGUGUAGCGGUGAAAUGCGUAGAGAUGUGGAGGAACACCAGUGGCGAAGGCGGCUUUCUGGUCUGUAACUGACGCUGAGGCGCGAAAGCGUGGGGAGCAAACAGGAUUAGAUACCCUGGUAGUCCACGCCGUAAACGAUGAGUGCUAAGCGUUAGGGGGUUUCCGCCCCCCUUAGUGCUGCAGCUAACGCAUUAAGCACUCCGCCUGGGAGUACGGCCGCAAGGCUG
rnacentral:rRNA from 1 species